rnacentral:misc_RNA from 1 species
AAUGCGAUGUUGGCAAAGCUGCCAUUGGGGGCGUAGUCGUGGAUGAGGAGCUUCUCGUCGACGCCCCAGUAGAAGCCGCGCAGCCGGAGGAUGUUGGGGUGGCGGAACCGGGCGAUGGCGCGCACCUGCACCUCGAAGUCCUUGAGCUUUUCGGUGCCGCCGCUGUCGCCGAUGCGCCGGACCGCCAGCGCGGUGCCGUCGGCGAGCACGGCCUUGUACAUGCUCGAACUCGUGGCGCCGAGGAUGUAGGCCGACGCCUUGAGCAGCGUCUCCAUCUUGAGCUCGCCGUCGCCAUCGACCGUCACCAGCGUCGCGGGCGUGGGGGACGCUUGCUGCUGGGGCAUGUUGUGCUUCUUGCUGUCGUGCUCCUGCGGGGUGCUUCAUCGAUGAAGCCUCCUCUCUUCUUGACGUCUUCCUCAUCGUCGGACUCACCGUCCGAAGACGCUGAGUACUCUGAGCUGUCGAUC